rnacentral:tRNA from 1 species
AGAAAAGAAGCAAAAAUUGCAUUUAGUUUCGGCCUAAAAGUUUGAUGAAUCCAUCCUUUUCUU